rnacentral:rRNA from 1 species
AUGAUGACCGGGGUGCAAAAAGCAAAAAAUACAAACGAGCAGGAAAUGCACAUGGUGUCGGCGGAUGCGGUACAAGCAAACGUUCUUGCUUCUGUAGCAUAUGGUGCGAUCCAGGACACGACAGCACCACCUGUCCGCAAAAGGGUGAUCUUCCUCAAAAAUAAAGGCAGGAAGCUAAAUGUUCAAACUGUGGUGUCAGUGGUCACAGAAAGAACACCUGCAACAAGCCUAAGGUGGUUCUGCAUGUUGUUGAAAAUGCUACUUUACAGGAAAAUGAAACCUGUGGGUGAGUUCAGUUUUUCUUUGUGUGUCGUUGAGGGCUCCGUAGCCGUUAUGUGUAAUGACAACACUAAGCACACUGUGAUGUUUGUUUCAGUUCAUCUGUGUUGUGUGCAUGUUUAUCACAAUUACUACUGUUUUUCACAUGGGUAG